rnacentral:rRNA from 1 species
CCUACGGGAGGCAGCAGUGAGGAAUAUUGGUCAAUGGGCGGAAGCCUGAACCAGCCAAGUCGCGUGCGGGAUGAAGGCCCUACGGGUCGUAAACCGCUUUUGCCCGGGGAUAACACCCUGCACGUGUGGCGGCCCGCAGGGUCCCCGCGGAUAAGGCCCGGCUAAUCUCGGGCCAGCAGGCGCGGUUAUUCGGAAGGCCCGGGCGUUUCCCGGAUUCAUUGGGGUUAAAGGGGGCGUAGGCGGGCGUUCAAGUCCGCCGUAAAAUCGCGGGGCUUAACCGCGGCCCGCAGUUGAAACUGGAGGCCUUGAGUGCACGACAGGCAGGCGGAAUUCGUGGUGUAGCGGUGAAAUGCAUAGAUAUCACGAGGAACCCCGAUUGCGAAGGCAGCCUGCCGGGGUGCGACUGACGCUGAGGCUCGAAGGUGCGGGGAUCAAACAGGAUUAGAUACCCGAGUAGUC